UAGUUUCUAGAUCUAGAAGUAGGGCUAGCACUAGAUAACUAGAUCUAGAAGUAGACUCUAGAUCUAUCUAGAAAUAGACUUAGAAGGUGAUAGAUCUCUAGAUUCUAGAUUUCUAUGUAUCAUUAUGUAAAUUUAGUUCUUAAUAAGUCUAUUAUAGACUAUAGAACUAUAGAUUUAGACAUAAAUAUUUAGAUCUCUAAUAUAAUUAUUAUAAUCUGUGUUCUUAGACUUAGAGGACUUAUUAGAUAUAGAUCUAGACUAGUACUAGUAGACUCUUAAAUUAUUUUAGAUCUAGAACUAUAUACAAGAUCUAGUGUGACUAGAGUAGAGCCCUAGAAUUAGAAAAGGAUAGAUAAUCAAGUAGAUCUAGAAUAAUCUAGACUAGAUUUCACUAGAUCUAGUCAAUAGAUUUAGACCUAGUAGUAACAAAUAAAAAUUGUUUGUUUUUUUUAGUUUUUGUUCUUUAGGAGGGUUUUUGGGCCAAAGUCUUGUUCGGGUCUCUUGAUUUAGAAUGCACCAUUGAAGGACAUGGUCAGCAUUCUCUGGUGAUGGGCAAGUUUCUCUAGUCCCGACAUUUAACUUCCGGACAUAUAUUGUCUCAUUCAGUGAACAAGCCUUUUCCUUUGUGGAAACUAAACAAGCAUUACUACUGGUCGAUUUUGACUGACUGUAAUUUGACAGCAGUCACAAGGAUAGAAACUAGUAAGCUAGUUCCACAGUUCCGGAACAUCAUGCACGAGUGUAAAAAGUAAAAUACUGCACAUUAAGUACAACUGUAUAUUUGUCAGGAUAUUUUAAUGUAAAAUGACAACAGCAAUUUGAAAAAAAAAAUCGUAAAAUUGGUUUAAAUAAUUGCUAACUCUUGUUGUAAUUCCUUAACGUGAAGUGUGGGGAAAAAAAGAAACGUGAAUAUAAUACAGUGUAAAUAUGAAUUAAAAGACAUUCUACACAGUUAGCUUAGAGUGUCUCUAUAAGUUGUAUAUAAAUAUGCGGCCCGCCAUUCCCAAUUUUUAAAAUAAUGCAGCCCUCGAUACAAAAAGGUUGCCCACCCCUGAUCUAAGAUAUUCAUGUACUGUUUUGGAUGUUAUGUAUGUCGACAUAUCCGAUUUGAUUUUCUGGCCCAAUAAGGAGAGUCUCAGGCCCAAAAAAUUUAUUUGUACUUAUGACAGGAAGAUGACAGUAAUAAAUGACUGUUUUGAAAUUUUCAUUGAGAGACCUAGCAGCGUUAAAGCACAGGCACAAACCUAUUCUUCCUAUUAGCACAACACAGUAAAAUAUCUGAUUGGAACUCAUUACUUUCAAUAAAUGAAUUAAAAAUAUUUAUACUAAGCUUUAUAGUUUCUUUGGAUUUAAUAGCCUUUAAAUUUUUAUUUUUAGAAGUGAUGUUGUUCACAAGAGAAUCAAAUUUAACUUUUUGUUUUUUAAUGAGGUGAUAUCAAUCUCAGAAACCUUAGUUGGCAAAACUUUUUUAAGCUCUGAUGGAUUUAUCCAGUAAGAUAAUAAGCCUGUAACUGUCUUACUCUCUUUUAGCCUGGUGUUGGCUUCCAGCAUAAAUAAAGUGUCUGCCACAUUUCUUCUUCUUCUUCAUCGUUCUCAUUGUUAUGUUGGAGUGUUCAUAUGACUAGACCAGUACAUGAGAUGAACUGCGCAGUGGUUUCCAAAUCAGGGAGCUCUCCAUAUAGUUUUCUUUCUAUUGGGGUGAUUUGGGGCCAAUGUCUUAUACGGGCCUCUUGGUAGAGAGAGCAGUUUUGGAGGACGUGGUCGGCAUUUUCUGGUGAUACUCCACAUGGGCAGAUUUCACUGGUUCCAAUUUUGAGCUUCCGGAACAUGUGUUGUCGCAUUCUGUUGUGUCCGGUCCUGAGUCGAAAGAUUAGACGUUGGUCUUGUCGGGAUAGCUUAUAGUAAGCGUCAUCUUUCUUGUGAUUUGGAUGGGAGCUUGUCCAUUUCUCAUUUAUUUUAUCUACAAUUAAUUUCUUCAUUUCUUCUGGAUAGAGUGCAGAGUUUACUUGUGAGUUUGUUCUCCCACUCUUGGCGAGUGUGUCAGCCUUCUCAUUUCCUGCUAGUUGUAUGUGAGCUGGUAUCCAUUGAAUAACAGUUUUUUUGCUGUUGUUGUUGAGCUUUGUAAGUGCUGUUCUGAGGUUUUUAAUAUGAGGGGAAUCAGAGUUUUGCAAGCUUUGGAGGGUUGUUUUCACGUCUGUUAGAAAGACAAUCUGACUGUGGGGGGAACUUGGAUGAUUUGCUAACAUGGUAGCAGCUAGUGCUAGUGCUUCCCUUUCUGCUCUGUGACUGUCAGAGAACUCUCCAGUUGCAAUGGAUUUUUCUAGUUUUCCUCCAUCUGGCCAUUCGAUAAGUAUUCCAGCUCCUCCAUUUGUGGUGGCUUUAUGGGAUGAGCCAUCCGUGUAAACUCUGAUCCACUGAUUGCUAGGGUAAUUGGUAUGUAGAAAACAGUUCACUAUUUCCUUGAGCUCUGUUGGUCUGUAAUCAGAUUUUCUUUUUAUGUUUUCAAUAUGGUCCCUUAUAGUAGGAAGAGGGCUUUCGUCCCAGGGUAGAGAUUCAUUAUAGUGUAUUGAGGAUUCCAGAGUAAUUUUUUCAAGUUGGUGUUUCUUUUUUAGGUUUAGAGAUUCCUGUAUGAAAUUGGUCCUUUUGAGACGUUUUUUUGUGCCAGUUUUGUGGAUUUUUGUUCUGAGUGGGUGCCUCUCCAAGGUUUCCAAUUUAGUGAAUUGGGAAAGGAUUUUUAUUUCUCUUCUUUUAUCCAGAGAGAUUAGGGCAGCGGUUUCCUCCAUAGCUCUUAUGGGUGUUGUUUUGAUUGCUCCUGUCAUUAUCCUUUGACCAAUAUUUUGAACCUUGUCUAUUUUUCUUAGGUUGGUUUGGGCUGCUGAGCCCCAUGCUGUGGCACCAUAUUCUAGUACAGGUCUUACAUAACUGGUAUAGGUCUUUUUCAGGAUGUUGUGAUUAGCUCCCCAAUCUGUGCCAGCUAAUUUUUUCAAGAGGGAUAGUCUCUGGAUGCCUUUACACUGUGUUUUAUCUAUUUGGUUUUUCCAGGUUAGUCUCGGGUCAUAGGUGACUCCAAGAUAAGUAGGGCUGUCAUUUUUUUCUAAAGCUUCCAAAUCUAAUGUUAAUUUUAUUGUUUGUUGUUUUGUUGACAGUGAGAAUAUGGUAUAUGUGGUCUUUUUUGUGUUGAUGGACAUGCCCCAGUCUUUGGACCAAUUAUUGAGUUUAUCAAGAGCAUCUUGUAAUCGAAAUUUCGAUGUUCCUACAUAUUCUUCUGUGCUAAUUAUGGCAAGGUCAUCUGCAUACAUGCUGCUUUUAACUUUUCUAGCCUCCAAGAAUGAAAUCAGCUCAGCCUUGAGUUGGACGACACCCUUUAACACUUUUCCCCUGGAGAGCCAACGAACGUUGGUGUGAUACAGGAGACAUUAGUAGUCUGAAUCCAUUGCUUCACAAAGCUCUGAGGAAAGUCAGAAUGCAAGCGGUCUAGAUUUGAGGAAGUUUACAACUUCAAUCACUUGAUCCAGAACAGACAUCAAAUAUUUGAAGGCAAGAGCUUCUCUGUGGAUCAUGCAGUGAACAACUAAUACAUUUGGAUUUUCUUGACGCACAAGAGUGAAGAAUCCCUUUCUAUUUCCCUGCAUGGAAGGACAGCCAUCGGUGCAAACGCUGACACAGUUUGUCUCCACUGUACUUUGAAUAGCAAAAUGUUUUCGUUCACCACUUAAAAAUAUCUUCGCCUUUGGUCGUAGUUGGUAAGUCUUUGCAAAAUAAGAAUUUGUUGACACAUUUUUCAUCCUUUAUGAACUGAAUAAAAGCUAACAACUGGGCUUUGCACUAAUGUCAGUGGAUUCAUCCACUUGAAGGGACCACAACAGAGACAGUUCAUCGUCAGUCAUUUCGAAGUGUUUGAAGAUUUGAUCUUGUAAAUCUGACAAUAAGUCUUCAAUUCUGCGCAAGAUAGUACUAUUUGACAAAGGAACUUUUUUAACUUUUUCGGCAGCAUCGGGUCCAAGGAUAGUUUCAACAACUAUUUCUAAAGCUGGUGCAAUGACUGCUUCAGCCUCUGUGUGUUCUUUCUUGCAUUUGCUAAUAACUGAACAACCUUAUAAAUUGCAAUUAAUCCCUUUUCUGAAAGCUUUAGGUAGUUCGUAAGUUUCUUAGCUUGUUUAUUUUGUUGAGCCCUGAUGUUUUCGAAGUAUUCCUUCAGUUGCGCUUUUACAGCUGGAUGUUUUGUUUCCAAGUGUCUCUUCAAUUUGCUUGGUACAAGCGCCUCAUUCAACAGAGCUGAAUUGCAGAUCAGACAGAAUGACAAUGGAGAAUCUUCAGGUCCUGAAGAUAUGAAACCAUAUCCGAUGUAAUCUUCUUUGUACCUUUGUUUGGUUCCAUGCUUUUCAUUGAACGCUUUCGCAGUUUCAUUCUUAGCAACGUAUUUCUCCAUGGAUAACAAUGAUUAAGGCUUAGUAAUAAUUUGUUAUUAUUAGCAUACACCUACAAAAUUUACAUGAAACACAUCGCUUAUUAUUAUCAUUACCAAUAUAAGAACUGCUGAGCAUCUGCUAAGGCGGCCUACAUUUGAGUCAUUAUAAUAAUAUAUGUAUAGUGGACAACUCCAUAACCUGAAGAGCUAACACCCCUUUCCGUCAAAAUGUAGUGAUCCACUACUAUUACUGGUCGUUGCAAGCUUGGAUGUCGUCACAAGGUAAAAUAAAAAUUUGAUAGUAGGCAAACCUGUGUAACGCUGCACGUGUGGCAUUCUGAAAACUCCUCGGCACACCUGCAAAUCUUCAGCGGCACACAGUUUGAGAAACACUGCCCUAGACAAUAAUAAAUAUUGACUAUUCAAUCUGAUUCUACAUUUAUGUCAAACAAUAUUAUUAAUAUAGUAUAGAUGUCUAGAUAUGCUAACUUAAAUAGUUAGAAUAUAGAUCUAGAAUCUAGUCUAGAUUAGUUAUUGGUAGAUCUAGAUCUAAUCUAGGUCUAACAAUAAAAUUGAUUCGGAAUACCUUGAACUCAUCCUUUGUGAUUGUGUAAGCACUUUCAGUAGAACAAGAUUAUAAGUGAAGAGAUCUGGAUAACACAAGGAGGGCAGCAAAUCAUUUUCUUUAUUACGCUGGCUUGCUUUCAAAGUGUGGCGAUUUUAUUGUUUACCAUGGAGUUGUCUACUUUUCAAAUUUUACUGACCAAGUUUUUUACAGUGACUGAUCCAUCAGCAGUUUCCGAAGCAGUAACUGAUAUCUCAAAAGAUAUCGCUUUUCUGAUGGUGUCUAGUCACCUCAGAGGAUCAACAGGAUUUGUUCAUUGAAAGACACUUGAAGGUGUAGGCAGUUAAAGCAAAAGGACUUCUUGCAAUGUUUGUUUCAAGGACCAGACAAAACAGAAUUCCACAACAUAUGUAUCGGAAGCUCAAAAUCAGAAACUGAAAUCUGCCCAUGUGGAGUGUCACCAGAGAAUGUUGACCAUCUCCUCCAAAAUUGCUCUCUUUACCAAGAGGCUGUACAUGACACUGGCCCCAAAACACCCCAAUAGAAAGAAAACUAUAUGGAGAGUUCCCUGAUUUGGAAAUCACUGCAAAAAUAAUCUCAUAUACUGGUCCAGUCAUCUGAAUGCUCCAAUAAAAAAAUGAGAAGGAAGAACAAAGAAGAUUGUAUGUACCAUUUUUGUUUGUUUGAGGAUGGGGAGAAAAGUGAUCUUAGAAUUCAAACACCAAAAGGAAGCAACAUGGCUAUCGAAAAGCAGAGACCAUACAAACCUCAUUAGAUGAAGAGUUUUAUUUUGUUGGUAAAGUCCUUGGUUUUGAGCCAUCAGAGAAACAUAGAAAGCUCUGUUUUGACAAUAUAUAAAGAGUGACUUUAGCUCAACUCCUCACCAAGCUUUACAGUCUGUGACAUUUUUUUGGUAAAACUUUUAAUCAGAUUUAUGUGUGUAUACUUCAUUAUGUUAACUACAUGUAUCAAGAAUACUCAAUUCAUAAAAAGAAGCUGCUUUAAAGGAUUAAAGAUAACUUUGACCCUUUUGAGAAAACAAAUUGAAACACAAGAUUUUGAAUUAAUUUUGUAAUUCUUUUAUAUUUUUUUUUUUCUGAAAGCCACAUAACGACACAAGUAUUUAUUCAAGGUUUUGAAUGUAUGGUAUACUGUUAGGUUUAGUAUUGAGUCAUUCAGUAAAUUGUUUUUGUUUUGUGGUUUUUAUAAAUUAAUAAAUGGAAGUUUAUAUAAUGUGUUAUGUUUAAAUGUAUGAUUUUUUUUACUGAUCUAAAGAAAGAAACUUGAGGAUUUUAAUUUGUAUUCCUUUUGAAACAUGUCAGGAAUAUUAGAACAUUGGUUGGCAACAUUAUUAGUGUCAAAAUGUAUUUCACUUGGUAGCCAAGAAUGCUUAUAACUGAGAUGACAUCAGUAACUGUGGUUAACAAGGGUGCCAUGUUGUCAGCACAAUAACCAACCGCCUUUACUUUUUCCUAACUCGUAUAAUAAUAAUAAUAAUAAUAAUCUUUAUUAUCCUUAAGGAAAUUUGUCUUACAAUUUGUGCAUUACACCAAACAAAAAACAUUAUAACUAUAAGAAACCAAAGUGUACAUUCACACCAGACUCACUCAUAAUUUACAUGUGACAAAGUUUAUACCAGAUUGUUCUUAUUUAACGAUUUGAUUGCCAGGGGAACAAAAGAGUGUUUGUGUCUGUUUGUCUUUGCUAUCGGUGUCUUGUAUCUCUUUUGUGAUGGUAAAAUCACAAAAUCCUGACACAAAGGGUGAUUCUUAAUUUCGAGGAUCUUGUUAGCUUUUUUAUAGAUGUUUGUCUCAAACAACUGCCCAAAUGGGGUUUGUUUUUUGCCAAUGAUUUUGCCAGCAGCAUUUAGGAUUCUAUGAAGUUACCCAUUAGAGCUGGGUGGACUCGAAGGCACCAUAAAGAUCCCAAAAUUAAAAAUACCCGUCUUCACCAGGAUUUGAACCCAGGGUCCUCCUGUUUGGAAGUCAAGUGCUUUACCACUCAUCCACAUGCCUCUGUUAAAGGCUAGAUUUUGUGACAAUUAUUUUUAGGAGAGAGAAAGAUGUAUGCACAAAGUUGUAGCUUUUUUUUAAUUUUUAUUAAAUUUAUUUGUAUUUAACCACUGACUUAUUAAUCUCUGAAUUGUCAAAUUUAAGUUUGUAAUCAGUUAGUGUUGACCUUGGCUUGAUAGGCUAAAAGGAUUAACAAUAAUAAUAAUAAUAAUUAUAGCUUGUAUGUAGUGCUACUUUCAUGCUUACAGCAUGCUCAGAGUGCUGUGUUCCAAUCUUAUGUGUGGACCAGUAGGGGGGGGGAUUUGGGAAAGGGUUUUCCGUGCUGCCUUCGGGUACUCAGUAAACAGAACUCUGCUUGAGUCGUGUGUUGAACCUAGAGUCACCUUGAUAGGUAGCCGAGCCAAGCCAAGUUCAAGCAUACUUAGCCUCUUGACCACGCCUCCACAUUGAAAUUAAAUUGUAAAUGUUAAAUAUUUUUUAAAAUUUAAUACAGAAUUUGAUAUUUAUGAAAUAUUUAAUACAGAAUUUGAUAUUGAUGAAAAAUUUAAUACAGAAUUUGAUAUUGAUUACAAAAAAUAAUACAGAAUUUGAUAUUGAUACCAUUUCAUUUGUGUGUGUGUGUGUUUCCAAUAAUAUUUCUAUGAAUGUACAAUUUAUUCUCUAGAUAAAGAUUCAUUUUCUGUUUUGUAAGGCAGCUCUCAAUCCUCAGUGUUAUGAACAUAAUGAUAACUGAGUCGAAAACCAUGUCCGCUUAGUAUGGCUUUAAUACACUGAAUGACUACACAGCACACAUUUUGUGAACACAUUCUUACGGACGAGUUACAAUCACAUGUAAACAUAAGAACGAAAACCGAUACAGCAUAUAAUUUUCAUAAGUGAAAUUCUAAAUUUACUGAACUAAACAGACU